CCCGGGUGGUGCUCUCCCCAGCGCCAGCCGCGUGUCUCCUCCCCAGAUCCCAGCCUCCCUCCCCCGACCUCUCCCAUCCCUGCUAACAGCGCGGAUCCCGACCCGGGUUCUGGUUCCUCCGGAUAGCCGAGCGCCCCCGGGGGCCUCGGGUUGGGGGGCUGGCGAGCUGGGGAGCGAAGGGCGAGCUGCGAGGACAAACCAUAAGGAAGGUGAAGGAGAAGCCAGUGCACGAGGGCAGCGCAGGGAAGUGCAAACCCAAUGAACAUGCCCGAAAAAUGCUGGAAGGACUGGAGGCCAAGGCUUCUGGCCAGAGGGGAGCUCCCAGAAAGGAAAACCCAGCUCUCCGUGGGGACCCCACCACUGCCUGCAGUGGGUAGACUGGAAAGUUUGGAGCACCUGCCACCAGACUCCCCCCAGGAAGCGGUGGACAGGGACAGUCACUGAUAAAGCAGCCUCAUCCACCUAAUAUCGCCGGUUUCCAAGCCAGUCCACCUCAACCAAAUCAGAUACCGUUGCCUACCAGAGUUGGUCUUGGAAAAGAGUGGCAUUUUGAUCGAAAGUGGCAGCGUAAAGGGAGACCCAUGGAGAAUCUUUCCUGCACUCCUUUAGUUUACACCUUUCUGAUAGCCGUUUUGUUGUGAAGAGAGGGGAGGAUGUUACACACGGCACAUGAUAGGACAUACGUGCGGACAAACAUUGCUGCUGGAACAGACUACGCUGAAAUUCGUACAACAUGAAAUACUGUCAUCCCUCACAUUGUAUUGAGCAGCUGGGAAUUUAUACGAAACUGGGAAGGAACAGGGGAGGCACAGAAGGUUGUCAAGGUGACAGGCUCAUGAGAGACAGAAGGCAGCAUCUUCGUUGUAAGGAAGUAGGGGAAGAUUUAAUCUUGGAAGAGAAUGACAUUCCUGCCUUCAGACCACAGAAGAAUCAGAAAUAAUACAUUUCCAAGAAAAUUUCAAAUGAUGGAUAUAUGCCAGACCAGGAAUUUCCUUCUGAGGGCUUUGGUCGUCUUCGUGAUUUAGGUAGAUGGCAAAAUUAUUUACUGAAAGUAAGGAUGACAGGUGUGGGUUAGGAGCCUUGAGAUGCAUUUUCAAACAGUUGCUGUGGCAAGUGCAAUAGGGAAUCAAUUAGAGUUAAAUAAAAGAAUUGCUGAGUAGCACUUGGGGCCCAGCUGAGGAAUGCAAUCCAAUGCAAUUAAGAAAGAAAGGAAAGAAAGAAAAAGAAAGAAGAAAGAAAGCUCUAUUCUUUACAUUACUAAUAAAAAAGAUGAAGAUACAAGAGAGGCUUUCCUGGAGGAGCUCAGUUUAAAACCUAAAAAGAGAAAAAUGUUAUCAACAGUAAUCAAGGUUGAUGUCGAAGAGGUAUAAUAACAGUAUGGUUUCCACUUGAAAUCAAGCAGAGCACUUUAGGUGUUGGCAGUACAUCUAAGUGAAUUUUUAAAAUAGGAUAAUCUAAAGUAAACUGGCAAAGUCCAUUGAACAAACAAUUAAGUAACUUAAUGGUCUGUGCCUUUGUUUAAUUGGCUAAUUUCUGAAGAUACUGUAGGUUAUAGGCAAUUUCAAGAGGAUAAUAGAUAUAAUGAAACAAGUAGCAGGAAUAUGAAAAAAAAUUUAAAUACAAUUAACCAAUUGAGCCAUAAGUGUGAUAAUGAAAAUCAGUCAUGGAAUUUAAAGGUGGGAUAAAAGUUUUAUACGCUAUUGUUCCUAUUCAUUAUGUUUUACUUUUCCUAAAAUUUCAAAGCAGUGCUGGGGACUGUGAACAUACCUGUGAAUCCAAAGAUAUGGGAAUAAUUAGAAAACAAUAGUCUCCUUUACAGUUCCUACUUGAUUUCUCUUAUUAACCAGCUAGCAGGAGCUAUUCACCAUGUAUAGGUUGCCGUGCUAACCUCACGAACUGAUUCUGGAAGCAAGCCCAGCUUUAUCUUUUGGAGAUUCACAGAUACUCUGUGGCAUGUCACAGGGCUUGGAAAUCUGCCAUUAUUUAUUCAUUCACUGUAGGCACUAAAAGCACUAAAAAUUUUGAGAGAAGCCUGCUAAAACAAAACCGUCUUGGUACAGAACAACCUAGGUGUUGAUUUUCCAACUCUGAUCUGGAGCACAUCCCUGGGCAGAGAGGCAGUAAGAGGGAGACGUGAGGAGAGCGGGUAAUGGUGGAGAGGUGGAAGAGAAUUACAGGCAGAUUUCUGCUUCACGUGUUUCCCCAGGACUGGAAAAUAUUAAGGUCAUUUUAGAAUUCUUUUGCUGACAUCAGAAUGGCAACAAGCAUAAUCUUCAGUACAUGUUGUUA